rnacentral:rRNA from 1 species
UACGGAGGAUGCGAGCGUUAUCCGGAUUCAUUGGGUUUAAAGGGUGCGCAGGCGGGUAUAUAAGUCGGAGGUGAAAUUCUGAUGCUCAACAUCAGCCUGUGCCUUCGAUACUGUAUAUCUAGAGUCAAGUUGGAGUAGGCGGAAUGUGUUGUGUAGCGGUGAGAUGCUUAGAUAUAACACAGAACACCGAUCGCGAAGGCAGCUUACUAAACUUUGACUGACACUCAUGCACGAAAGCGUGGGGAUCAAACAGGAUUAGAUACCCUGGUAGUCCACGCUGUAAACGAUGAUUACUCGCUGUUGGCGAUACACAGUCAGUGGCUAAGCGAAAGUGAUAAGUAAUCCACCUGGGGAGUACGACGGCAACGUUGAAACUCAAAGGAAUUGACGGGGGCCCGCACAAGCGGAGGAGCAUGUGGUUUAAUUCGAUGAUACGCGAGGAACCUUACCAGGGCUAGAACGCAAGUUGAUUAUGUGCGAAAGUAUAUAUCUCUUCGGAGCAAUUUGCGAGGUGCUGCAUGGUUGUCGUCAGCUCGUGCCGUGAGGUGUCAGGUUAAGUCCUAUAACGAGCGCAACCCCUACUCUUAGUUGCCAGCAUGUAAUGAUGGGGACUCUAAGAGAACUGCCUACGCAAGUAGAGAGGAAGGUGGGGAUGACGUCAAAUCAGCACGGCCCUUAUGUCCUGGGCUACACACGUGCUACAAUGGUCGGUACAGAGGGCAGCUACCUGGUGACAGGAUGCUAAUCUCAAAAAACGGUCUCAGUUCGGAUCGGAGUGUGCAACUCGACUCCGUGAAGUAGGAUUCGCUAGUAAUCGCGCAUCAGCCAAGGCGCGGUGAAUACGUUUGCCGGGCCU